rnacentral:rRNA from 1 species
GGCGGGCCGGGCGGUCUGCCGAUGGGUAUGCACUGUUCGGCGCGUCCUUCUUUCCGGAGACCGCGCCUACUCUUAGCUGAGCGGGCGUGGGAGACGGAUCGUUUACUUUGAAAAAAUCAGAGUGUUUCAAGCAGGCAGCUCGCUCUUGCAUGGAUUAGCAUGGGAUAAUGAAAUAGGACUCUGGUGCUAUUUUGUUGGUUUCGAACACCGGAGUAAUGAUUAACAGGGACAGUCAGGGGCACUCGUAUUCCGUCGAGAGAGGUGAAAUUCUCAGACCAAUGGAAGACGAACCACUGCGAAAGCAUUUGCCAGGGAUGUUUUCACUGAUCAAGAACGAAAGUUAGGGGAUCGAAGACGAUCAGAUACCGUCGUAGUCUUAACCAUAAACCAUGCCGACUAGGGAUUGGAGGGUGUUCUAUUUGACCCCUUCAGCACCUUACGGGAAACUAAAGUCUUUGGGUUCCGGGGGGAGUAUGGUCGCAAGGCUGAAACUUAAAGGAAUUGACGGAAGGGCACCACCAGGAGUGGAGCCUGCGGCUUAAUUUGACUCAACACGGGGAAACUUACCAGGUCCAGACAUUGUUAGGAUUGACAGAUUGAGAGCUCUUUCUUGAUUCG